AUUGAACGCUGGCGGCAGGCCUAACACAUGCAAGUCGAGCGGGGUUUUCGGACCUAGCGGCGGACGGGUGAGUAAUGCGUAGGAAGCUGCCCGAUAGAGGGGGAUACCAGUUGGAAACGACUGUUAAUACCGCAUAAUGUCUACGGACCAAAGUGUGGGACCUUCGGGCCACAUGCUAUCGGAUGCGCCUACGUGGGAUUAGCUAGUUGGUGAGGUAAUGGCUCACCAAGGCGACGAUCUCUAGCUGGUUUGAGAGGAUGAUCAGCCACACUGGAACUGAGACACGGUCCAGACUCCUACGGGAGGCAGCAGUGGGGAAUAUUGGACAAUGGGCGCAAGCCUGAUCCAGCCAUGCCGCGUGUGUGAAGAAGGCCUUCGGGUUGUAAAGCACUUUCAGCGAGGAGGAAGGGGUGUGUGUUAAUAGUACAGCAUUUUGACGUUACCUACAGAAGAAGCACCGGCUAACUCUGUGCCAGCCGCCGCCGUAAGAC
rnacentral:rRNA from 1 species